rnacentral:rRNA from 1 species
UACGGAGGGUGCAAGCGUUGUCCGGAAUCACUGGGCGUAAAGGGCGCGUAGGCGGCCAGGCAAGUGGAAGGUGAAAUCCCUCGGCUUAACCGAGGAACUGCCCUCCAAACUGCUUGGCUUGAGACCGGGAGAGGUGAGUGGAAUUCCCAGUGUAGCGGUGAAAUGCGUAGAUAUUGGGAGGAACACCAGUGGCGAAGGCGGCUCACUGGACCGGUACUGACGCUGAUGCGCGAAAGCGUGGGGAGCAAACGGG